AGAAUUGAUAAGUUUUGAGACUUAAUUAAGCUUGGAAUUAAUUUAAUUAAUCCAAUCAGGGGCUUAAUUGAAGAAAUAACAAAGUUUGGAGUUAAUUGGGGGCACGAUUGCAACAGCUUAAAGUCCAAGGAUUAGUUUGUAAAAAACGCCGAAAUACAGGGGUCCAAUUACAAUUUAUCCAGGGGCUUGAUUACACGAUUCCAGAACUUCAGUGACUGGAUUGCAAAUGGCCAUUCCCAUCACACAAAAGGCGCCGUUUCUAGAAAUCAGCCGUCGCCUUCUUCGUCUCCUUCCACAGGAACGGUUUCUGCAGUAAUGGCUUUGAAGCCGUUUCAAUUGUAGAGAUGCUUGGCAUUCUCUGGCUAUAAAGCCAGAGAAGAUGAGAGAGCGCGAGGGGGAAGGAAUCACAGAACCGGAGGGGGACUAAAAACGAAGGAAGAAGAGCAGACAUGCAUUCCUCUGUUUCUUCUCAAAGAAACAGAGGAGGCUAAAGAAAAAGCCACGAACAAAAGGAAGUAAACAGAGAGCUAAACCCAUCUUCAGUUUAGUCCCAGAAUUCAAUCACAACAUAUGAACAGAAGAGGAAAGCAGAGGAGAGCAGAGAGUAAGUAAAAAAACCCAACAAACAGAAACGCAAGAACAGAAACUGUACAGAGGGGAGCAAGUUUUCUGCCCCUGUUUCUUCUCACAGAAACAGAGGCGUUCGUGCCUCACGAUCGUGAGGCACGAACGCGUGAAGAAAGGCCAUUCUCUGGCCACAGCAGGGGAAUCACGGAACCAAGGACAUCCAGAGAGCAGAGAGAACCCGAAGAAAUACCCAGAGGCUAAAAAUCCCAGACGGAAAAAACCCAGUAGACAGGGGGAAAGCUAAGCCCAGACACGAAAAAACCAGGGAGAGACCGGAGAAAAAACUGCUGAAAAACCAAAGCAGAGAAUACACGAAGAAAAGCCAGGGGAAGGAGACAGAGACAGAAACAGGGGAAGAGAACAAAAAGCCAACGUACCCCAGCUUCGCCUUCAUCUUCAGAACACAAACACAGUGAGCAGACGAAAAACCAGAGAAGAAAAACGCAAACAAAACCAGAGGAAGAAGCUUAAAAAAACGAAGAGAGGACCAGCAUCACCACCGACUGCCUCUUCUCCAGCACCAGCUUCCAAAACCAAAGGAAGAAGCUAAAAAGGAGAGAGGAACAAGCAGCUGACAGAAGGAAUACACCGAAAGAAGGGAAACGAACGAACACAGGGAUCUUGAGGCAAGGAUAGACGACCAAGAAAGACUGAAAAAAUCCGGAUCGCCAUUUCCAGCACCAGGUAAGUUGCGCUUUCCCUUCUUGCAUUUUAAUUACAUGCUCCUAUAGCAGGCGUGCGUGAACUGCUCACGCACGCCUGCUGGUAAAAAAAAUGGCCAGCCGGGUCAAGCCUGUGACCCGGCUAGGCCUGCUGGGUCCAGCCCAGCCACAUGGGCUGAGCUGGGCCCAGCCCCCAAAAAAUAAAAAAAAUAGAAAAUAGAAAAUAAAAAAAUAUAAACAUAUAAAAAAUAAAAAAUUAUGCAUGCAUAUAUUUAAAUUUAUUUUUAUUUGGUUUAUUUAAAGAGCUAGAGUCAGCAACACCAUUCAUUUUUGUUUUGAGUUACGUAAUACUUACCAACGCCAGAGUUGGAAGUAUCCGUAGUCGAAUAUUCACUGACGCCAGAGUCAAGAAUAUUAUAAACAAAUCAUCAUAGCAUAAACUAAUAAAUAUUUAGCAAUUUAAGACAAAACCAACAAUGCAGUCUGCCUUAGGCAGAACGUUUAAGGGGUGAUAAUAUCUUUCCUUUUACGUAACCAAUCCCGAGCCAUAGAAUCUCUGUUGACCAGUUAGGGUUCCUAGUGACCAUAAUACUAGGUGGCGACUCCUCAAACAAGACAUUUUCCCCUAAAAGAAUCAGAUGCCAGAAAUCUGUUCUUUUUCCAUAAUAUAAAUCAAGAGAACCAUUAUUUUUUAGGGCCGCCGCGAUGUCGGGUGCGACACAUCUCCCAAAAAAUGUGAGUGCCUCCUAUUUAGUAGUUCAUGCAUAGCAUGUGUCAACAACUUUUAUUUUUUUUAAUUAUAUUUAUAUUUAUCAAAAGAUUAAAUUGCCCCUCAUUCAAAAUUGAUUAUAACUAAAAAAAAAUCAUGAAAUAUAAAAAAGUCACUCGACAUCAGUUUAAAAUUUUUACUUUAAAGAGAAAUGUAGUUAUUUCAUUGUGCAAUCAAAGCAUUAAAAGACCAAAAAUCCUUUGGAUCCUAGUUUUAAUUUCAUUGUUUUUUGCUUUUAAGUAUAUUUAAGUUAUUUAAUUGUGUAUAUAAAAUGUUAAAAGACCGAUUUGUCUCUAAUCAAUAUAAUAAUAACAAAUAGACCUUAUAAAAAAGACUGGUUUGCCAUCAAUAAUUACUUAAGUGAUUUUGUUUGAGAAUGGAAAAAAAAUAUAAUUUUAAUGUUUCAAUCUAUAGUAAUAUAUGUUUAGGUGUACAAUGAAAAAUUAAAAUCUUUUAUUUUUUUAUAAUUAUAAUAUGCAUCAUUAUAAUAUGUGAUCAAAGCAAUUGAAGUGCAUUAUCUUCUAAAAAAAUACAUAAAGAAUCUUGAUUAUUGUUAUAAAACUUGACUAAAUGUAUCAAUUAUGUGGGAUCUUGUCGAACUUGAAUUUUAUAUCAAAUUAGGUUUGGAGUUCACUUGGUCAAAUUUAAUUUUGGUUUGAAUUUUAUAUCAAGCCAUGGAUUGGGCUAGGUUUUGUAGAAAUGAAAGAAAGUCUAUCAAUUGUUUAUGGCAAGGGCAUAAAUUACGUAUGAUCCAAUAUAGAAACACACAGAAGACAGAGAUCCAUAUACGUGGGAACAAAGGCUGGGCUAAGGGAGCUUAAACUCAUAUGAUAAAAGUAUUAUAUUAAUGAUAUAACACAAAAAUAAUUUAAUGGAAUAUUUUACUUCUCCUAGUUUGUGGUAAAGUAAGGCAGUGUUUAUUUUUGUGGUGGCACCGUAUUUUUUUUAAAAUCAUUUUAAAUAUUUUUUGGUAUUUUUAGAUUGUUUUCAUAUACUAAUAUAAAAAAUUAAUUUAAAAAAACAUUAUUUUUAGAUUGAAUCAAGAGGGUUUUGGAUGUGUUGGGAUAAAUCAUAAAAAUAUGCUUUGAAGAGUUCAGGAGUUGCUACCUAAUAUUAUGGUCACUAAGAAAUCUAAUGAUCCGCGACAAUUUGGAUGGAGGGACUAGUUGCGCAUGAGAAAAAUACAUCACCCCCAGUAUACCCUACCUUUGAUAAGCCGCGUUGUUGAUUGAUUGUUUUUUCUAAGAUCAUGUUUUUAUGUUUUUAUUCGUUGAUCUAUCUAAGAUCCAAGAAAAUUUUUCUUGGUAAAGAAAUCCUUAUUUUAUUAGGAUAAAACCUAACCUUUCUAAAGUCCAAAAGAAAUGGGUAAAAUACAUAUCCCAAGCUUAAACAAAAUAAUUUUUGUGGUGCUAUUUGUUUUUUGAAAUUCUGGUCAAAUCUUAACAGAUAAUCACAAACUUGUUGUGAUACUCAUUAAUUGAUCUUUUUCGUAUUUCUUCAAGUAUGAUAGAAUACAAUUUUUAUUUUUUUAUAAAAUAUGGAUGAAAAUUAUAGAAUUUGAUACUUUGAUUUUAUUUAAUUUAGUCCUUGGAAAAGUCUGGAACAACUCCUAAUGUUACGUGUCUUUUGCAGAAAGGUCCUUGGUUUUGAGUUCUUUCAAUUUGGUUCAACCUCUAUACUCUGAUUUUCUUGCAAUUUCGCCCUUGAUUCCAUCCAAUGAACUUUGUAAAAAUUAAAUAUGGUCCUCUAAAAUUUUAAUUUUCUCAAUUAAGUUAACCUUGAAUUUGCACUGUCCAAUUAAGUCCUUGCAAACUAGGCUUCCAGACUUAAUUUAUCACCAAUUAUGCUUUUAAUAAAAUUAAUUUUAUCAAUUAAAAAUCUAAUGAAGUUCUUACACUUAAUUAAUUCUUUUAAUUUCAGCCUAAGUUAAUUUCCAAACUUAAUUAAAUCUUUAAUUAGGCUCAUGAUUAAAUCAAAUCAGUCUAUUAAAUAUCUAAUUAAAUUCUUAAACUUAAUUUUUAUGCAAAUUCGUUCAAUAUUCACAUUAAGUUAAUUUUGAAUUUGCAUUUAGAUCCUUCAAAGGUUCAAUUGAGUUUUCAAUAUUGUCAAAGAUUCAGUUUGGUCUGUCUAUCCCUCAUUUAUGCAUAUAGAUCUCUCUUCAACUUGUUCUUGUCAUCCAAGUCACUUGUCUUCUUGUAUAUUUUUUUUAUUUUUCAACCUUUUUUUGGUAUAAAAGAAAACAAUAAUUUUGGAGGAACUCGAAAUUAAGUUAUGAUAAUUUUGAUAUAUUUUCAAGAGAAAAAUAUUUUAAAUUAAAAACAACUGCUAUUACAAUAUCAAACGCUACCUAGGGCAAAAGAGUAAAUUUUGUUGAAGAGAUCAAAAGAGUAUAAUAUCAAACUUUGUUGAAGAAAAGUAUUAUAUUAAUGAUCUCUUCAACAAAAUCUUGAUCACCCCAAAUUAAUCUCAAGAAGUAGUAGAGGAUCUUUUGAGAGCUAGAGAGCAAGAUUUUGUUGAAGAGAUCAAAAGAGGGCAAACCAACCAUCAUAUAUAUGUUCACAAGACAAUGUUUUUUUAUUUUUUUGAGCCACCUUCCCUUAGCAAACCAUUUUUGUAUAUUUACCAUAAUUUCUCACGUGUAAAGCAAACUUUCAUAUCUUAAAAGGUUGGUCUAGCAUAUAUCAGCCGAAACUUAUUUGCUUUUUUCAGAUCUCAAGCUUAAACCCUUCAUUCAAUAAUAAUAAUAAAAAAAAAAACUUAUAGGAUCACGGGCCACAGGGUAUAAUAAAGCACCUUGUAUUUUUAGACUGCAAGGUUAGUCUGUUACUCGAAAACCAGCCUAUGAUACCCUGUGUUUUUUUUAAAAAAUAAAAAUUAUUGGUUCAUUUUUCCUUAUAAAAAAACUGAUGAUGGUAAGAUGAUUGUCGGUCCAGAUAUUCUUUGCUUGGUUUUUGGAAAGGUUAAAUGAACCAAGACAAAUGGUGGCAUAAAUCAGCUCAUGAGUUGGUGGGAGGCAAGAGUUCAGAGAAUUAAUUAAGAAUAUUGACUUCAAUUCUGUGUCUGGCUCCCUGCUGUUCCAAGACAACAAAGAAUAUUAAAUUAAACAUGUAAAUGAAAUCAAUUUGACUAAUUGGUGUAAUGAAUCUCAUGACUAUAUAAUAUCAUAUAUCAAGAAAAUAUAAUUUAUACGGUCCCAUAGAGUGAUCAGAAAACUGUUUUUUAGGGGGUGAAAUAUUCAAUUAUGAUGAGCAAUAAGAAUUAAUUAAUUACAUAAUGAUUAUAUAUUUAAUAUUGUUCUGGAAAAAAGAAAAAAACUAAUAUUUUAUCCAAUCUCUAUUUCUCUGUUGUCAUCUCUUAAGCAUCUUAGGUAAGAAUUAUUAUUUAUAUCGUUAAGGAUUUAUACCAACUAAAUUUACCAAUCACUUUAACAAGAAUCCAUUGAUUUUAGAUUUUUUAUUAUUAUUAAUGUGGAUGCCCGGACCAGUAUGCGUACACCUCGAUUAAUUUCACGGGUCCUGAAGUUAACGACUAUAUAAGCCUCUAAUAGAUUUAAGAUUUAUAAAACUCGAACUGGUAAUCUAUAAAAUACAAAUCUAAAAUCUGAUGAAUUAAAUUAUACUUUUAUAUUAGUCCUUCAAAGAAUAAAUGAAUGAUGCAAUUUCACUUGUAUAUCAAUUGUUUAAUUUUAACUUUGAACCUUUAUAAUUUAUUAUUUCUUUCCUGCCACUUGCUUUCAACACCUCGUUGUGUUGGCAGAUUUUAUUUAGUGAUUUACCAUAAAAAAGGCUUGGGUUAAUGGGUAAUUUUUUUUAUUUGUUGAGAUUUUUUUAUUUAUUUAUGAAAGCCAUCUUUGCUUUUGAACUUCCGGUGGCAGCUUCACAUCUGUUGCCAAUCCAAUAGCUUGAAGAAACCUUACAACUUACCAAGUCAUGUCAAUCUGCCACCAUUCCAGGCCAUGCUUGGCUGAGUAUCAAAAGUAUGUCAAAAAUUGACCAUCCACGACGGCGUUAGAAUCUUCAUGAUGGAUGAAGUAUUGUGUGCGGUGGUCAAUGCGGUGAUAUGGCUUUGCUCAACUUUUUUUUUUAUUCUUUUUUCCUCCUUGAAAAACACGUUGCUUAAUAAUUGUUUUUAAUAUUAUCCUCUUAUUUUGUUUAAGUUUCUAAUUUAUUCUUCUUGAUUUUGAUUAUUUAAUUUUUAUCUUAUUUCUUUUAAAUUUGUUUUUGGUUUCACUAUUUAUUAAAAUGUUAUUUUUCCUCUUAUUUUUUUUUCAAAUUUGAUUAUUUUUAUUUUGAUUAUUUUUUUCCCGUUCCUUUUGUAAAGUAUAAAAGUUUUUUUUUCACUCUUAAAUCAAACAAUGCUAUUAUUUUUUUUUAUUAUGUUUUUGUUUAAUAUUUAAUUCUCAUUCUUUUAUAUUGCUCCUUUUGUUUUGGAAUUGUUUGUCAAAUUAUUAUUUUUCAAUUUCAUUAUUCAACCCUAAGUUGAUUAUGAAUUUAGAGUAAUCAUGAUUUUUUCUGGUUGGGUUACAUUGGGUUAAUGACUCAGGUUAUGUGUUUAAAAUGUUAACCUAGAUGCCGUCAGCCUUUAUUUUUAUUUUUAAAAAAAAAAAAAAUUUUGAGUUCGUUAUUUUUAAAAUUGAUUUUUUCUACUUUUUGUCAUUCAUCAUUUUUUAUUUAUUUUGCAUUUAGCUUUAUAACUUUUCAUGGCAUGCCUUUUAUUGUGUUGUCCAAUGCGCACAAUCUUAGUCAUGUUAUUUAGUAAGCUAAUCCAAGUUUGUUGGCUUUUUUUUCCAUUUUGUUAAUUAUUUGUUUAUUCAAUCAAGUCUUUCUACAUUGGGUUUGUUAAUAAUUAGAGCUUAAUUACAUGUCUUUUUGGUUUGCUUUCUGAGUUGUUAUCACAACCUCUCGAAUAAGUUGCGGGUUUGGUAGGCACAUUUGGAUUAACUUUGGUCAUAUUGUUUUUUAUUUUCUUUCUAUCGCACUUGAUUAAAUUGAAACUUAUCAUUGUUUAAUAAAUGCUUUUUCUUUAUCCCUGUUAUUUUUUUUUUUGACAUCUUAUUAGUUAAGAUAACUUAUUCAAUUUAGCCGAGUAUAUGAUCUAAAUCGUGAUUUUUUUAUUAUUUUUUUAUCAAAACACACUUAUCGUCUUUUAAUAUUCUUUUUUAAUGCUAUUUUUUUCCCCGGACCACGAGAUUAGUCAUGUCUAAAACAUAUUGACUCAUGGGAUAUGUUUAUACACACAUAUACAUCUGACAUAAGCUAAUUAAGUAAUAUUUAUAAUAAAUAAUUUUAAAUAUCAGAAAAAAUGAUAAAAAAUCUAAAAAUAAAAAUUUUUGAAGGCCUCGGUAGGGUUAAAAUUAAGAAUGUUGAAUUGGUCAAUUUUGUGUAUAAAAUAAUUGAUCAUAGGCUUUUCAGCCUAUUUGUAAGAUAUCAUUCGGCCUAGUGAAUCAACAUUCGGUUUGCAAGCAUAGAUUAAAUUUUGAAAAAAAAAAUUAAAAAGGACAUGUCCUAACUUUCCUCUGUGAGUAACCUAUAAUUAAUAUAUGUUGCCAUUUGUCUAGUAGAUUAAUUACAACCCAUCAAUCUUAAUGUGUAAUAUGUUGAAAUUAAUGAUGUGAUAAUGACUUCCAAUUGAACUCCUGCAAAUAUUUUAUAGCGAUUAUGAACCAUUUUCGUGUUUAAUAUUAUAUCAUGAAUCUGGGAAUAAAUUUUAAUAGAUAUCUCAAAAGAGACUCACAUUUCCUCCAAAUUAAGAUUUAAUUUUUUUCAAUAUUUUCGAAGUCCAAAUAUUCUGUGAAAAAAAAAACUGUACACCAUGCACGUAUAUAUAAUAGUAGAAUUAUAUUAUAUUCUUAAAAAGAAAAGCUUCUCAUAAUUUCAUUAAUGAUAUCACACACACACAAACUUCAAUUGUUGAAAGCCAUCCUUUGCUUUUGAACUUCCGAUGGCAGCUUCACAUCUGUUGCCAGUCCAAUAGCUUGAAGAAACCUUACAACAUACCAAGUCAUGUCAAUCUGCCACCAUUCCAGGCCAUGCCUGGCUGAGUAUUCAAAAGCAUGGUGAUUAUUAUGCCAACCUUCUCCAAAUGUAAGCAACGCAAGCCACCUUAA
rnacentral:lncRNA from 1 species